rnacentral:lncRNA from 1 species
UUGUACAUCCAUGCAUGACCAUAAAAACGCACGACAUACAUGAUCAAUGGAUUAUCUAUGGUUAGUCCAAGGUGGUGAACUCAAAUGACACACACAUGCAUGACCAUAGAAACAUGAAUGAGCUGUGUAUGGCCAUAGAAAUGGCCAAAGAAAAAAGGUUUAGUCUAUGGCUAAAAUGCUUAGUACAAGGUGGGCAGCUCAAAAGAUACACACACAUGCAUAACAUUUGAAAUAUGAGACAUCCCUGAUCAAACGUAGAGAAAACAAUAAAAGAACAAAUAAGAAGGCUUGCACCAUUUCCAUUUAACAGAAAUACCUUUCUAAAGAGAUACAAGCCACUCAACCACUCUUAUAUGAAGUUCAUGUGUAGCUACAAAUCUGCAAAAUGAAAGCUCUUAUGCACCCUACAAAUCUGAGAAACACAGUAACCAUGACUUUGAAGUCUCUUCUUGCUACACCAAACCUGCAGUAUAAGAUGAUACCUUUUUCAGGGAAAUUUGCACUAUUAAGAUUAUUGCAUACGUAAUCAAAAGACUGCCAACCGCCCGAGUUCAUUUUACAACCUCUCUCCUGCUUCGGGCCAUAUACGCAUGGGCAAUGAAUGCACCCAACCUGUAAAAAGAUUGCAUAUACAGCUGCAUAAAAAUAAUGUCGAUCCUUAGCAGCAGGGAUACCUAAACCUGCAAAAACUCAAUGAAAAAGAGUAAGCACAAAAGAUUUUCAAAAUUCACAAAAACCAGAUAGGUAGUGAUGCCUAGUGAAAGUGCAGAGUUCCCCGAGUACUUCUAUGUAAAUGUCCCCAUAUAACUGGGAGGAUGACACAUCAAAGACAAUGGAGAAAACUCAUCCAAAGCCCUAAAUUUUGACGAGGCCAGAUUCAACCAGUUCUUAUGGCCAUGGGAAAAACUCUAACGAAACCUGAUUCUUAAGGAACAAAACGGAAUUCAACAGAUAAGCUCCUAUUGUCAUGGUAAAUAUGGUUGGUCCAAGGUAAGGACCUCAAAUAAUACACAGAUAUGCAUAAUCCUAAAAGACGAGAUCAUGCUUGAUGAACAACGGCUCUUUAUGGCCACGGCUAAAAGGAUUAUGGCUACUCCAAGAUGGGAAAAUCAGAUGAUACACAAAUACAUGAAACACAUGACAUACUUGAUCAAUGGAUUAUUUAUGGUUAGUCCAAGGUGAUACAUACACAUGCAUGACCAUGAAAGGAGUAUGAUUAGCCCACGAUGAGGAAAUCAGAUUGUACAUACAUGCAUGACCAUAAAAACGCAUGACAUACCUGAUCAAUGGAUUAUCUAUGGUUAGUCCAACUCAAAUGACACACAUAUGCAUGGCCACACACAUGCAAGGCCAUAGAAACAUCAAUGUGCUGUGUAUGGCUAUAGCAAAAAGGUUUGGCCUAUGGCUAAAAUGCUUAGUACAAGGUGGGCAGCUCAAACGACACACACAUGCAUGACAAUAGAAAUACGAGACAUCCUUGAUCAACGAGCCACCUAACACAUGCAUAGACCAUGGAAUGCCUAAAAACGUGGUCAGUGAUCCGUUCCUGUGUCGACAAAGUGAGGGCAAAAGAUGAAAACGCAUAGGAAGAAACAAAAGAAUGGGUUUGAUGAACAAAAAAUCAGAAACCCAAUGGAAAAUAUCACAUUUGAUAUCACAGAACAGAGGGACCUGCAGACCACCUGCACAGUGGAAAAUGGGCAGUAAGACCUAAACAAGAUGCUUGCAAAUGCAGCCAACCCAUGAUGCAAGGCAUCGGAUGGAGAGAAGAGCAAAAAAAUAAGCAAACCUAAAAAAAUUAAAAAGAAAUCAAAAGAAAAUUCAGUUCAAGAGUAGAGGGGAAAAACCUGAUGUUUUGCCAUUUCUACUGAUCAUCUCCAUUUUGAAAAGGGUCUACGAAUUGAGGGCAAAAGAUGAAAAAGCAUAGGAAGAAACAAAAGAAUGGGUUUGAUGAACAAAAAAUCAGAAAUCCAAUGGAAAAAAUCACAUUUGAUCUCACAGAAACAGACGGACCUACAGACCACGUGCACAGUGGAAAAUAAGCAGUACGACCUGAACAAGAUUCUUGCAAAUACAACCAACCCAUGACGCAAGGCAUCGGAUGAAAAGAAGUGCAAAAAAGAAGAAGCAAACCUAAAAAUUAAAAAAGACAGCAAAACAAAUUCAGUUCAAGAGUAGAGGGGAAAAACCAAGUUAGUGGUUGUUUUGCCAUUUCUACUGAUCAUCUCCAUUUUGACAAGGGGCGACGACGUGAGGGAAAAAGAUGCAAAAGCAUAGGAAGAAACAAAAGAAUGGUUUUGAUGAACAAAAAAUCAGAAACCAAUGGAAAAAACCUCACAGAACAGAAAGACGGGCAGUAAGACCUAAACAAGAUUCUUGCAAAUGCAACCAACCCAUGAUGCAAGGCAUUGGAUGGAGAGAGCAAAGAAAGAAGCAAACCUAAAAAUUUAAAAAGAAAGAAAAAGAAAAUUUAGUUCAAGAGAAGAGGGGAAAAACCAAUUCUGUGGUUGUUUUGCCAUUUCUACUGAUCAUCAAGAGGGUUACCA